AUUGAACGCUGGCGGCAUGCCUUACACAUGCAAGUCGAACGGCAGCACGGGUGCUUGCCCCUGGUGGCGAGUGGCGAACGGGUGAGUAAUACAUCGGAACAUGUCCUGUAGUGGGGGAUAGCCCGGCGAAAGCCGGAUUAAUACCGCAUACGAUCUACGGAUGAAAGCGGGGGACCUUCGGGCCUCGCGCUAUAGGGUUGGCCGAUGGCUGAUUAGCUAGUUGGUGGGGUAAAGGCCUACCAAGGCGACGAUCAGUAGCUGGUCUGAGAGGACGACCAGCCACACUGGGACUGAGACACGGCCUAGACUCCUACGGGAGGCAGCAGUGGGGAAUUUUGGACAAUGGGCGAAAGCCUGAUCCAGCAAUGCCGCGUGUGUGAAGAAGGCCUUCGGGUUGUAAAGCACUUUUGUCCGGAAAGAAAUCCUUGGCCCUAAUACGGUCGGGGGAUGACGGUACCGGAAGAAUAAGCACCGGCUAACUACGUG
rnacentral:rRNA from 1 species